rnacentral:lncRNA from 1 species
ANNNNNNNNNNNNNNNNNNNNNNNNNNNNNNNNNNNNNNNNNNNNNNNNNNNNNNNNNNNNNNNNNNNNNNNNNNNNNNNNNNNNNNNNNNNNNNNNNNNNGCUUGUUAUUGUUAUACAGUGGGCAUUCUGCUGAGGACGUCCAUGGCUACGCUAUAUCUUCUCCCAGAGUUUGUGUUUUUAUGCCCAGAUGUAUGAUCCACUGGCGUUUGCUUUCAGCACAGGGUGAGAGAGAUGGGCAGAGUCGAUCUUGCGCACGUGGACCACCAGUUUUCCCAGCGCCCUUUUUCCAUGGCCUGUGUUUUCUCCAGCCUAGGUUAUUGGCUCCUUUGCCCAAGAUCCAGUGGCUGAAGGUUUUUGGGGUUGUUUCUGCACCCUCUAUUCUGUUCCCUGUGUCCAGCUGUCUGUGUGCGUGCAUUGGUACCAUUCUGUCUCUCAUGGUCUGCCCAGGGAGGGAAGUGAGGAAGUCUUCCCAUUCCUUAGGAGACAGUCUGAGUCUCCCGAGGAUGUUCCCCCCGGGUGUCCUGUUGUCUCACUGAGAGAGCCAUUCAUUCACUUCCAUUGGCUCCGGGGUUUGUACUGGGUCUUGAGGUGAGUUCAGGUCAUGACUGUUGUAUGUGUGCUAUGUGUGUUUGUGUUUGCAGGACCUGAAUACACCUGGAACCAAGAGGAAGUGGCGUGGGAGUCCGUUUCCGCCUGGUACCUGGAGGGCGGAGACAGUGCCACCAAUUACCUGGCACACAGUGUAGAUGAAAGUUAUUUGACCUUUUCCACAUGGUGCAACUUCUCAGCGUUCCCCGAGCCUGCCUGGAGUCCGGGCUUCCCAGAUGGCCUGUGAUUCUGCCUUGACAAUGAAGCAGAAGUGUUCAACAUUUACCUGCUAAGAAGCUUAUGAAGAUGGAGGUUCCACAAAGGAAUAUAAACAACAAUAACCAGAUGUGGAAUAACCAUGGCAAGCUUUUCCAUUCAAGCUUUUCCUGUAACCUCUUCUUUUAAGCUCAUUUAAUAAAGGCAAAGUCUGCAUUGAAAUCUGCUCCAGUACGUCUAGCAAACCUGAAGACUCCAUCCAGAGAGAACACUGGUGAACCUGCUCCUCAGUGGCACAGGACAUGACUGGGCUCCCCUGCUGGCUGGGAGGCUAACAAUGGUAGACCCAGUGCCCUUGGGCCAUUGCAAAAGCAGCUCUACCAUAAGCAAGAGCACUGGUUCUUGGGUAAGUUUUUCUGCUAUUUUUCCUCUUUUUACCCUGUCUAACUUCAAUAAGGACAGAGUCAUGACAUAAUGGCCUAGGGUUCAAUAGAAGUACAAUGUACUAUAGAAUAACUCUUUUCAAAUACCUGCACGUUUCUAUUUUGAAAAAGCUCACGAGGUAGCAUUAACAGCACAUGUAUUUUAAAUACUUCUGUCAGCUUCCUGCUGACCAAUAAUAUCACCAAGAACAACUAGAAAAGGUAGGUAGAACACUACUAAGGUGUGCUUUGUCUUUGUGGAACUAGGGAAUGAACCCCCUGGCCUUUGCAGUGAGCUACAUUCCCAGCCCUUUUAUUUAUUUACUUACCUAUUUAUCUGUCUAUUUAUUUAUUUAUUUUUUUUGGAGACAGAGUCUUCCUGAGUUGCCCAGGCUGGGCGCAAAUUUGCAAUUUUCUUGACACAGUUUCUCCAAGUGUUGAGAUCAUGAGCAUAUAACACCUUGCCUGCAUCUAAGUACCUAUUUUAAAGCACCAGAAACCUAGCAGGGCAUCCAUAGCUUGGGGACCAAAACCCCAGAGAAAAGAAAAACACAGUAAUCAGGAAGAAACCUUCACAUGGUUCUAACUCUUAUGGCAUUUGCCAAAUGAGCAACUCUGAGAAGCUGGACAUUUGUGAAAAAUGUCUACCAUAUGAGCAGAUCACAGGACAAAAAAAGUGGAUGUGGAAUCUAGCAGGGAGAAAGGACUCUACUUUUAGCUGGAACCUGAAAAGGACUAUGUGCUGGGAGCAGGGGAAGCAGGAAAUGGGCACCUUCCAGUUUCUGCAGCUCAGCUGGGCAGUGCUAAACCCAUGGGUAGGUUCAGGUGAUCAGUCUCCACCUGACUUGUUUACUGGAAAGAAAAGCACCAGUGAGACCCUUAAAUGUUUAGGGUUUUUCAUACCGAAUGUCUGACAAUCAAAAAUGAUCAAGCAUAACAGGAAAUAAGGUGGAAUGGCUGAAGGCCAAGAGAAAAACCAGAAAAUACAAACUGACCCACAGAAGAGCUAGAUUUUGGGGAGACCUUGGGCCCAGAGACUAAAUUAUCUGUGGUUAGUAAGUUCAAGAAAUUACAUGAUGUGAUGGAGCAUUCCAGUGAAAGAAUAGAAGCAUAUGUUUUAAAGAUCAGUUCCAGUGCUGAAAAUUUUAAUAACUGAAGCUAAGAACUCAAUAUAUGGACUGAAUAAUGCAUCAGACAGGCGAAAGGGCCAGCAUUCACCUCCGGGAAUGUGAAGGUGCUGUGCUGUGGUGUGCAGGGGUCUUCAGGGAUCCCGGUGAUGUUCCCUUCCUUGAAUCUGGCUCUGUGGCUGUGUUUUCUUUAUAAUUUGCCCUUCCAUUGGUGGACGUGUUAUUUAGGUUCUCUUAUGCAGGUGUGCUGACUGACAGUGCCUGCUCGUUCAAACACGUGACAGCUGGAUAGAGACGUGCUGAGUGAAGUUCCUGCCGACCUUGUUCCAAAUGGCGUAGGCUGUUACGUUGGAGAGGUUGGUGCUACCUUCCCGAGAUGGGGUCUAACAGCCCGCUACGGUCUUCUCAACACUCUUCAACGAGAAGCACCAUUGCUACAUGUGUGAGGUAACAUCAGAGCCUCACAUUUCAGAAGCGCCUCUUUUCAUCCUGCUCUUUUCUGGAUUUCACAAUACAUUCAUUUAGGGAAUUUUAGGCAUCAGGGGAAUGGAUCCAAAACCUGAGUCACCAUUUUUGUUCUGGCUGCAAGCUGCUAAUAAUUCUCCAAUCAGUAGGGACAGGGGAAGCUUCAGUUAAUCAUCAGGCUCUUCAGAUCCCUGCUGGAAGAAAUCAGGCUCUUGCUAGGAUUCUAGGACACAGGGAGAUGUCACCCAUGGAGAGUCAUACCUGCAGCUGUCUCUGCAGCCAGCAGAAAAAAUAGUUCUGAGUGGACCAAAGAAAGGGAGAGAGAGAGCCUGGAGAGAAGAAGGAAGCAAAUGCGGGGUAAAUGGUCCUCAAGACAAAGGAAGUCCUAGGAGCCUUUUGCUGACUCUUGUUCCUGGCUUCCUGAGUCUACCCCUUGGCUUCCCAGGGAAACAGCUAUCCACAGCCUUGCAACAAUCUCCAGCUUUCCACUGUGGUCUCUUCACUGCUGUCUCGACAACCCCACAAGGGCUCCUUCCCCACACUCAGCACCUCUACCUCUCAAACUGUAGCUGUCUAACAUUGAAAAGGUGAUGCUGGCUGGGGAUUUCGCUCAAUGGUGCCACCUCCUGCCUCAUAAGCGCAAGGUCCCAAGUUCGAUCCUAGGUACCAAAAAAAAAAAAGAACAGAAAAAGAGAAAAUGUGAUGCUGAAGGAUCAUUGUUGUAAAUUCUUCUAUUUUGAUGCUGUUUUGUAUCUAUUCUUACAUAGGUUGACUUUCUCAGGCUGGAAGCAAGACUCAGUUGGCAGUUUCCAGUUCUCACCUGGUCCUGGUUCUUCCACAUUACUGAUCCAGGUGUUUGCCUUCCACACUGCAUUGUGGUAGCCACUCGACCAGUAGGCACAACCUGCUGGACUCCUGCCACCACGUCAUGUGCUCACGGAUGGGGCAGGUGUUUGUAGUGGGCUCUCAGUCACAGCAUGACUCCAUAGCACUUGUGCCUGCUUGCUCUAAACCAAACAAUUAGACAGUUCACAGAGAUUAUUGUGUUUUCCUUACGCUGCUGCCCAUCAGCUUUUCAAAAAUUAUAUUUAGGAGGAUUUAAAAAGAGGGAGGAUUGUGAAGUGCUGUGUACAUGCACUAAGUCCCUGAGAGGAAUGUGAUCAUCAUGCAAUACAAACAUAUCUCUGUGUAUAUAUCUGUCUCCAGGAGAUGCAGAGAGGGAGAGGGAGGGGAGGAAGUGGGUACAAAAAAAAAGAAUUAAGAAAUGUCAUGUACACAUACUAACUCCCCACUACAAACAUGAGCGAAACUAGAUUAUGAACACAAUUUUUAAAACUGACACAUAUUCAAAGUCCACCUGAAAUUUUGCUAACUUUUUUUUUUUUUUUUUUU